rnacentral:misc_RNA from 1 species
AACGCACCUUGCGCCCUUUGGCCAUUCCGAAGGGCAUGCCUGUUUGAGUAUCAUGAACACCUCAACUCUCAUGGCUUGCCAUGACGAGCUUGGACUUUGGGGGUCUUGCUGGCCUGCGGUCGGCUCCUCUCAAAUGAAUCAGCUUGCCAGUGUUUGGUGGCAUCACAGGUGUGAUAACUAUCUACGCUUGUGGUUUUCCACCAGGUAACCUUCAGUGAUGGAGGUUCGCUGGAGCUCAUAAACGUCUCUCCUCGGUGAGGACAGCUCUUUGAACGUUUGAUCUCAAAUCAGGUAGGACUACCCGCUGAACUUAA